GCCCCGGUGGUGAAAUUGGUAGACACGCCAGACUUAGGAUCUGGUGCUGCAAAGCGUGUAGGUUCGAGUCCUAUCCGGGGCACCA
rnacentral:tRNA from 1 species